rnacentral:rRNA from 1 species
AAACUAGGAUUAGAUACCCUAUUAUUUUUACUUUGUGUUUUGGAGUAGUAGUAGAAGUUUCGAAAUUUAUAUGAUUUGGCGGUACCUUAUUCAGUUUAGAGGAGCUUGUCCUGUGAUCGAUAGUCCUCGUGAGACCUCACUUUUUAUAUUAGUUUGUAUAUCGUUGUUUUUAGAUAACCUUUAAGAGAAAAAAGUUUUUAUAAUAGGAGAUACUAGUACUUCAGAUCAAGAUGCAGUUUAUUAAAAAGAAUGAGAUGAGCUACAUUAAAAGUAUAGAUUUUUGGAUACUAAUUUGAAAUUUUUAGUUGAAAUUGAAUUUAAUAGUAAAUAGGAGAAGAGAGUUCUAUUUUGAGUUUUGCUCUAAGGUGUGUACACAUCGCCCGUCGCUCUUA